CCAUGCAGCAGGACAGGGGGACAGACAGACGCCUGCUGACAGGAACAGAACUCCUGUCUUUGGUUGUGUUUUCUAAGCACCAUGGAAAGCUGGUGUUGAACCUGCUGUCUGUUUCCACUAGAGGAGGUUUGUGGGUUUCAGAACCAUGUGCACAACCAUCAUGGUUCUCUCCACUUUGGCCUUUUUACUGCGCCAACACCUCUUCAGCCGAGGAAAAACCUUUCCAAAGAACUUGGAUGGAAAAGAUGCACUUGCAGUGCACAGCCAAGAUGCUACCAAAUGAAACCACAUUACCAGGAGCUGGGCUUUAGAUGCAGGUUGUCUUCAGAUCAGUGGGAAUUAAACAGAAAGCUUCUCUCCAAAAAUGCUUUGUGCUCCAAAGUGGAACCAGCUUAGCCACAGCAGCUUUCACGCCCUGCCAACGAGCUGAUCUGGAAAGAACACGUCGAUCUCCUCUGUUAAACCUUUCUGUUAGAACCAGGGGAGAGAAGCCAUCUUGACAAAAAGAAACAAUUCUUCUAGAGGAGAAAUAAAGUGUUUGUGUGGUGCACAUUCACGGCCUGCUGCUUCCUCAUUUGAGGGGAAAUCCACUCCCCCGCUCUCUGGGACUCUAAAACAUGAUGCUUGGAUUGUUGUAAUGUUGAUUUCUCCCUUUACAUUGCUUCUCAUGCACAUCUAAUAAUAACUGCAUUGUGUACAGGAACAACUGAGCUCCUAUGCAAUUAAAGCUGAUUUCCAUCUCUUCUA